CGGAAAGUCGACGAUGUGAAACCGCUGGUGUCGCCGCAGAAGUGGCCGUAUCUAUUCCUCAAGGACCUCACUCGGCCAGAGAGAAGUCAUUGGUCAACGUGACGUCAGCGUCGCCCACGAGAUACUUCUGGAUGUGGAUCAAACUCGUUCCGUUUAUAUGGCCGACAUGGCGCAGGUGCUUACCUGGGGAGUCAGGAUGCAGCCAGGCCUGUCCGCGUUCGUCUGACCGUCGUGCAACUCAACCUGAAACCGGAAGCGCCGCUUUCUGCCCUGUUGCCCACGAACAAUGAGAUCGGGAGGAUUCCUGGGAGGACGUGAGCACGAUCGAACUACGAGGAAUGAUGGCAAAAAUGAGAGAGAAAUAUCUUACGUUAUCUUACGAGACCAUGUAUUAUUGAGGCGGAAUUAUUGCGCGUGUUUAAUACUUUUAAUUGCAAUCAACGAACGGAGUGAGGCCAAGGAGAGCGUGAAGCGCAAAUAUGUUGGCGCGGGAAAUAUCAACCGAAGUGUGAAGCAGGUUCUAUAAAUAGGCUCUCUGAAGUGAAGCAAGUUCUAUAAAAAUCCGGGAGAUAACUAAAUCUCCUUGCUCUCAUCUCCCUUGAUUUCAGUUGUAAUUAAUAAUGGGGAUCCUAGUGCCCGAUUAUCGACAUUUCCAUACGUGACACGUGGACGACGCAGCACUGCGCAGCGCCGAAACGACCGGCAAGAUCUUUUCACGGUCGCUAUCGUCACGUGGUCGCUCGCGUACGUGCAGCAACAGGUGUGACGCAACAGGUAAUCAAACUGUCAGCUGAAUGCGCCUCCGUGGAUAAUCUAAUGAUCACGUGCUGUGUAACAUAAAGUCCCGCUUCGGCUUCAACAUAAACUCUCCAAAAAAGUACAAUUUAUCCAAGAGGCAUCCUCGCUCACUGUCAUACAA